AGAAACCAGUCAAUUCGGCGUUUUCAAACUAUUACGCGAGGUCGGAUCGCACUAUUAUAAUAUUGUCGUUGUGAUUAUUACACAAAGACGAAUAUUAUUGUAUUAUUAUUAUUAUUAUCAUUGUUAUACGAGCGUUACGUGCGUGCCUUAGAAUAUCCGGAGUAUUGUCUUAAAACAUCAUCCUCGCGUUCUAAAUGCGGGGGUG